CAUUGCUCUACUGUAUGCUGUCAGAGCAGGAGAAAAGCGCUUUAGGACUGUACAUUCAGUCAAAGCAGCCAUUAGUCUGAUUAACAUCAAUUGUAGCGUCUCAUUUCAGAACUGAGAUCGACUGGGAGGUUAAUUCUUCGCUGUCGUCGACGUCGGCGAGGUCAGCGGCGGCUUUCAUCAGACACAAAGCGCUAAUUGUGUCGCCAUUAUUUUAACUUCAAGUCUGGGUCGAGAAAAGAUAGUCGGGACAGCUGACGGUAGAAGCACCCUCUGGUUCAAAGAGGGCAUAUUUGCAAAGUGAACUCACUUCCUCCUCCUUCUCCAGUCUCCGACAAGAUUGUUUUUCAGUGCCGAAAAAUGUAAAAACAGACGUAAAACAGCGCAGAGCAGUGCAAAUAGAGUUCUUUCUCAAUUGGUCCCUCGGUGUCAUGCUGGAAAGGAUACUUGGACACCAGACAAAGACGAAAAAAGGGAUUCUUAAAAAAAAAAAAAAAAAAAAAACGCUUGAAACACUCAAAUCGCAGCGUGCACUCUUGUGGAGGUUGAGUUUAGUGUUUCUAAGAGGGCCCCUGCAGGAAGCUGGGAUUGAAAGCGCUGCUCGGCAACGCUCAUGAAAAUUCAUCCUUAAGUACCUGUGCAGAGGUCAAACCCAUGAUUGAGAAAUGUUGCCAAAACAUGUCCGACAUGUGAGACAUGGGUGCUGCUUUGCUUCGACUGCAGAAAAAGCUGUGUCUACACGGGUCUUUUUAAAAGCCUGUGUGUGGGAGAAGAACAAACCUGUUUUUGCUGGAAUCAUCUUCCAUUUUUGAUCAUCUCUGCACAUAGAAAAAAAAAAUAUGAUAAAGACAACAGAGCUUUUCUUCCUGUCGCUCACACACACACACACACACACGUGACCUGCUGGGAAAAAAAGUGUCUCAAAACUUUGUUAGCAAACAGAGGAGUUAUUUUGCUAAUGUUAAGAUAGUGGUAAUCCAUGACGCAGAGUUAUCAAGCAAGUACAGUCAUCCCUCGUUUAUCACCAUUAAUUGGUUCCGGACCUGACCGCGAUAAGUGAAUUUCUGCGAAGUAGGACUCAACAUUAAAAAAUGGAAUAUUUUCAUAGAGCAUUAUUACUGCCCUGUAGGCAUGAAAAUAACACCCCUAUAGUCACCUUUACACUCCUACAUUGCAUUGCUCAACUGUAAUGCGAUGAGCUGGCCGCUGCUUUAAACAUAGCAUGCUACCGAGCUAACUAGUUAGCCUCCAAUUUAUUUAUUCAAAACUUAAAGGGUUUCAAACGGUGUGGGGAACAAUACAAAGGAAGAAGCUAUAUAAACUUACCACUUUCACACUGAAUGGGAGGAGAACUAAUCUAAUGUAAUGUAACAUUACUAACGCCUAGUGACCAGAAUCCUACAUUUAACUUGUCUGUCAAUAUAUUUGAACUAAUAUUAAGCCACAGUCAAACAUGAAACAAACCAUUUAUUAAUUUUUGAAAAACUGCAAUAGAGUGAGGGAGCAAUGUUCGAACCGCGAUGUAGCGAGGGAGGACUGUAUCCAGCAGCGAAGACAUGUGAUAUCGUUUUUAUAUUGCAAUCAGCUUUUCCACUAUUGAAAACAUGAUUAAAAAAAGAUUUGUUUUGUCUUGAAAUAUUUCAAAAGCACCCCCCCAAUCUUAGCAGCAAUCGUGAUACUGUACGGGUAGCACUGUGCUAGUUUGGCAAUUGGCAAUUGUCGUCUGCAAAGUCAUUGACAAUCAUUGGAAAGCUGAAGAAGACGAACGCACGUCGUCUGUGUUGAAAGAGUAGUGUAAUAUUGUACGAGAAGCAGAACACGAAAGGGCCCAGAAUGUGGAAGACUUCUGUGCCAGUAAAGGAAGGGUGUUCUGCUGCUAUUGGUGGUUGUUAAUGACAGGUUUCUUUGUCUUAAUUUGGAAUUUAAUGUUUGACAUUAGUCUUGAAGGUGGGUCUAAUGCGCAUUACAAGGUUGUUUACAACCUUUUCCUUACAGGAAUACAUGUGUACUUUGUUGUGUGAAUAAAGCCUAUUGUGCACAUAUUUCUGUGCCAUGUUGGUAAGAUACUUUUCUCAUUAUUUUUGUUCUUUAUAUUUGUUUGUUAAUUACUUAU